GUGUCAGCCGCCGCGGUAAAACGUAGGGGACAAGCGUUAUCCGGAUUUACUGGGCGUAAAGCGCCCGUAGGCGGCUUGAUAAGUUGGACGUGAAAGCUCCCGGCUUAACUGGGAGAGGCCGUUCAAAACUGUCGGGCUCGAGUGAGGAAGAGGAGAGCGGAAUUCCCGGUGUAGUGGUGGAAUGCGUAGAGAUCGGGAGGAACACCAGUGGCGAAAGCGGCUCUCUGGUCCUAAACUGACGCUGAGGGGCGAAAGCGUGGGGAGCGAACGGGAUUAGAUACCCCAGUAGUCC
rnacentral:rRNA from 1 species